rnacentral:rRNA from 1 species
UACGUAGGGGGCAAGCGUUGUCCGGAAUCAUUGGGCGUAAAGAGCGUGUAGGCGGUCCUGUAAGUCCGCUGUGAAAGUCAAGGGCUCAACCCUUGAAUGCCGGUGGAUACUGCAGGACUAGAGUCCGGAAGAGGCGAGUGGAAUUCCUGGUGUAGCGGUGAAAUGCGCAGAUAUCAGGAGGAACACCAGUGGCGAAGGCGACUACCUGGCCUGUUCUUGACGCUGAGGCGCGAAAGCUAGGGGAGCAAACGGG